AUACGUAGGUGGCGAGCGUUAUUCGGAAUUACUGGGCGUAAAGCGCGCGUAGGCGGCUUUGUAAGUCGGAUGUGAAAGCCCUGGGCUCAACCUGGGAACUGCAUUCGGAACUGCAUGGCUAGAGUAUGGGAGAGGGAAGUGGAAUUUCCGGUGUAGCGGUGAAAUGCGUAGAUAUCGGAAGGAACACCAGUGGCGAAGGCGACUUCCUGGCCCAAUACUGACGCUCAGGUGCGAAAGCGUGGGGAGCAAACAGGAUUAGAAACCCCGGUAGUCC
rnacentral:rRNA from 1 species